AACUUUCAGCAACGGAUCACUUGGCUCUCGCAUCGAUGAAGAACGCAGCGAAAUGCGAUAAGUAAAGUGAAUUGCAGAAUUCAGUGAAUCAUCGAAUCUUUGAACGCACCUUGCGCUCUUUGGUAUUCCGAAGAGCAUGCCUGUUUGAGGGUCAUGAAAAUAUCAACCUUGACUCGGGUUUAGUGCUCUUGUCUUGGCUUGGAUUUGGCUGUUUGCCGCUCGAAAGAGUCGGCUCAGCUUAAAAGUAUUCGCUGGUGCUGUCUUUGAGACUUGGUUUGCCUUGGCGUAAUAAGUUAGUUCACUGAGGACAAGCUUCGUAUUGGCCGUGUUUCUGAGACGUUUAUCCGCUUUCUAACACACGUGCUAGCUUGCUAGACAUGACUUUUAUACAAUCUGGCCUCAAAUCAGGUAGGACUACCCGCUGAGCUUCUGCAUAUCAAUAGGCGGAGGCC
rnacentral:misc_RNA from 1 species